AACGAACGCUGGCGGCAGGCCUAACACAUGCAAGUCGAGCGCGCCCUUCGUGGUUAGCGGCGGACGGGUGAGUAACGCGUGGGAACGUGCCCUUCUCUGCGGAAUAGCCUCGUGAAACUGAGAGUAAUACCGCAUACGCCCUUUGGGGGAAAGAUUUAUCGGAGAAGGAUCGGCCCGCGUUGGAUUAGGUAGUUGGUGGGGUAAUGGCCCACCAAGCCGACGAUCCAUAGCUGGUUUGAGAGGAUGAUCAGCCACACUGGGACUGAGACACGGCCCAGCCUCCUACGGGAGGCAGCAGUGGGGAAUCUUAGACAAUGGGGGCAACCCUGAUCUAGCCAUGCCGCGUGAGUGAUGAAGGCCUUAGGGUUGUAAAGCUCUUUCAGCUGGGAAGAUAAUGACGGUACCAGCAGAAGAAGCCCCGGCUAACUACGUG
rnacentral:rRNA from 1 species